UGCACCCCCACCCACAGCUCAGUGCAGCGAGAGGAAGAGAAUGGGCCAGAACCAGGGAGAAGAUCACUGGCUGUUGACAGGCACUAGUGGGGAUGAAAAUGUCCAUGCUUCUUCUUUCACUUGACAUCAGCAGAAACAAGCGAGAAGCAUCUCAGGAGAGACUCAGCAGCGAACUGAAGAAGGAAGACCACCCAGGGAUGUCUUCUCUGGCCAUGAAGCUUUUAGAGCAAAGGUUCCGCUGUCUAGUAACGCUGCAUGCUUCAUACAUUGCUACCUUCCUGAGUGAACAGGAAUCAAAAAGACACCAUUUUUGAAUGGGUUGCAAUGAAAACACCAUUUCAUCCACAGAAGAAGGAACAAAGAAAUAAAAGUGCUAGUAAUGGAUCAAGAAUUCCCUCUCUUCCUUACACUGAACAAACUUCAGAGCCUGCCUUCUACAGAAGAGGUGGUGGUUGGGAUAGCCAGAAGGAUGAGCCUGGAUGAGGUGGGGGCAUGGAUGAUACAACCAGAGAGAUGUUAAGAGACACAGAUGAUGUGUUUGAGGUACAAGAAGAAGAGAGUUUUGCAUUGUGCCAGGUUAGUUUGACAACCACAGGAUAUACGGGAGGGAGAUUGAAAAGUAGGAAGGAAUGGACAGGACAGAAUUCAGUAAGAAAUCAGAAGGGAAGGAAAAGGCUAGAUAAGGAGACAGGUUUACUCAAAAAUGUAAAUAUGAGAGAUUAGGAAGCAGCCUGGCUGUUGAGAAGAUAGGGCAUAGCAGCUAGAUUCAGUGUCUUUACACACAAGAGAGAACUUCCCUUAUGUGGUUAGAAAUUCACAUGUGUGUUUGUAGCUUCCUGGUUUUGAUGGAUCUGGGCCUUGUUUUCCUGUAAUCUACCCCUCCAGCAGGGGUGGGAAUUGAUGAUGGAGUAGGAGCCGCAACAGGAGAGAGGCCGCUGCUGCACUGGCAUUCCCUCUCCUCUCUGUGUCCCAAGUGAUUCUUGCAUUUCCUCUGAACAUUUGGAAGCCUGACUUUGUGUCUUCUACUGUGUUAUACAAGGCGCGCAUUUGGAAAAUGUCCUGUCAUCCAGACAAGGAAGCAAUACCAGUUACUACUUUGCAAUUUAAAUACAUUUGAAAAAAAAAAGUAAAUCAGAUACUUUGGCUGGGAAAUAUUGACUGGUUUGAUAUUUU